CCCCAGACUCCUACGGGAGGCAGCAGUGGGGAAUAUUGCACAAUGGGGGGAACCCUGAUGCAGCAACGCCGCGUGGGUGAAGAAGUAUUUCGGUAUGUAAAGCCCUAUCAGCAGGGAAGAAGAUGACGGUACCUGACUAAGAAGCCCCGGCUAACUCCGUGCCAGCAGCCGCGGUAAUACGGAGGAUGCGAGCGUUAUCCGGAUUUAUUGGGUUUAAAGGGUGCGCAGGCGGCACGGCAAGCCGGCGGUCAAAUCGCGGGGCUCAACCCCGCCCAGCCGUCGGAACUGCCGGGCUAGAGUGGGCGAGAAGUGCGCGGAAUGCGUGGUGUAGCGGUGAAAUGCAUAGAUAUCACGCAGAACUCCGAUUGCGAAGGCAGCGUACCGGCGCCCUACUGACGCUGAGGCACGAAAGCGUGGGUAUCGAACAGGAUUAGAUACCCUCGUAA
rnacentral:rRNA from 1 species